GACGAACGCUGGUGGCGUGCUUAACACAUGCAAGUCGAACGGGAUUUAGUAAACAGCAGCCUCGGUGGAAGAUUACUAAUGAGAGUGGCGAACGGGGGAGUAACGCGUGAGCAACCUGCCUAUGACAGUGGGAUAGCCUCGGGAAACCGGGAUUAAUACCGCAUAAAAUCGUAGAAACACAUGUUUUAACGGUCAAAGAUUUAUCGGUCAUAGAUGGGCUCGCGUCUGAUUAGCUAGUUGGUGAGAUAACAGCCCACCAAGGCGACGAUCAGUAGCCGGUCUGAGAGGAUGAACGGCCACAUUGGAACUGGGACACGGUCCAAACUCCUACGGGAGGCAGCAGUGGGGGAUAUUGCACAAUGGGGGAAACCCUGAUGCAGCGACGCCGCGUGAACGAAGAAGGUAUUCGUAUCGUAAAGUUCUGUCCUAUGGGAAGAUAAUGACAGUACCAUAGAAGAAAGCUCCGGCUAAAUACGUG
rnacentral:rRNA from 1 species